GUCGGUCUUAAAACUCAUAAAGUGUGUAGCUGGUUGGCCCUAAUAUUUGUUUUUGUCGCAAUGGCGGCACUCUGCUCGUGAAAGUAUUGACUGUUAGGUGACUAAACGCACACGUAAGGUAGUACUUGCCAAUGCUACUUGUAUUCAUGCACACCGUGAACCCAAUGAAUGUGCGGAUUGGCUUGCAGGUUUUCCUUCUUUCUUUUUCCGAGUUGGACUGGGGCCUUCAUGCUUUCUCGUAAUUCUGUCCCUGCAUGUGGUGUUAAGUUUCUUUGUUUAGCUGAUAUUUUAAGAGUUAGUGAUUUGAGAUGUUGUGUGAGCUUAAUGGAUAUGGAAACGGAACGACUCAUGCAUGUUUGGCAUUACCUCUUCAACUUAACAUUUCUGUUAUUUUUCUCUGAUGAGUUUGAGGCCAAUUUGAUAAAUAAAAGAAGUUCAGAUUACUUGCAUCUAUCAACGAAAAUUUGAAAAAGGAAAAGGUGUUUCUUCACCUCUCCGAUCUUGGCAACUUAGAGCUUUGCUUGGUUUGGUGUAAGAUCAAAUUCAGAUCUCUCCUAUCCUAAAGCUUUUUGCAAAGUCAGGAUCUGGAAUCUUUUUCUGCGUCACCAUUGAGAUCCUCCAGUUGACUGUUGAAUCCUGAAGAAUUAGGUUUUGGUUCUAUACAAGUACGGGAGCAUACCGGGUGUUCCUGUCAACUGCAGGGCUCCUUUCUUUUUGUCGCCUUUUCUCUUUACAGAACUAAUAUUUGGCUCCCAGUUCUUUUCUCUUUUUUUCAUAUUGAUCCCUGUACUUUAUUUUUCUAAAUUUUAAAUUUCUGUAUUUUUAUUUUUCAUUAAUAUUGGGUUCCUACGGAAAGUAUAAAUA